rnacentral:rRNA from 1 species
GAUGAACGCUGGCGGCGUGCCUAACACAUGCAAGUCGAGCGAUUUACUUCGGUAAAGAGCGGCGGACGGGUGAGUAACGCGUGGGUAACCUGCCCUGUACACACGGAUAACAUACCGAAAGGUAUGCUAAUACGAGAUAAUAUGCUUUUAUCGCAUGGUAGAAGUAUCAAAGCUCCGGCGGUACAGGAUGGACCCGCGUCUGAUUAGCUAGUUGGUAAGGUAACGGCUUACCAAGGCGACGAUCAGUAGCCGACCUGAGAGGGUGAUCGGCCACAUUGGAACUGAGACACGGUCCAAACUCCUACGGGAGGCAGCAGUGGGGAAUAUUGCACAAUGGGCGAAAGCCUGAUGCAGCAACGCCGCGUGAGCGAUGAAGGCCUUCGGGUCGUAAAGCUCUGUCCUCAAGGAAGAUAAUGACGGCACUUGAGGAGGAAGCCCCGGCUAACUACGUGCCAGCAGCCGCGGUAAUACGUAGGGGGCUAGCGUUAUCCGGAAUUACUGGGCGUAAAGGGUGCGUAGGUGGUUUCUUAAGUCAGAGGUGAAAGGCUACGGCUCAACCGUAGUAAGCCUUUGAAACUGGGAAACUUGAGUGCAGGAGAGGAGAGUGGAAUUCCUAGUGUAGCGGUGAAAUGCGUAGAUAUUAGGAGGAACACCAGUUGCGAAGGCGGCUCUCUGGACUGUAACUGACACUGAGGCACGAAAGCGUGGGGAGCAAACAGG